rnacentral:rRNA from 1 species
GAUGAACGCUGGCGGCGUGCCUAAUACAUGCAAGUCGAACGAAACUUCUUUAUCACCGAGUGCUUGCACUCACCGAUAAAGAGUUGAGUGGCGAACGGGUGAGUAACACGUGGGCAACCUGCCCAAAAGAGGGGGAUAACACUUGGAAACAGGUGCUAAUACCGCAUAACCAUAGUUACCGCAUGGUAACUAUGUAAAAGGUGGCUAUACUACCGCUUUUGGAUGGGCACGCGGCGCAUUAGCUAGUUGGUAGGGUAAAGGCUUACCAAGGCAAUGAUGCGUAGCCGAAUUGAGAGGUUGAUCGGCCACAUUGGGACUGAGACACGGCCCAAACUCCUACGGGAGGCAGCAGUAGGGAAUCUUCCACAAUGGGCGAAAGCCUGAUGGAGCAACGCCGCGUGGGUGAAGAAGGUCUUCGGAUCGUAAAACCCUGUUGUUAGAGAAGAAAGUGCGUGAGAGUAACUGUUCACGUUUCGACGGUAUCUAACCAGAAAGCCACUGCUAACUACGUG